UAAAGGGAGACCUAAUUCCGGUAGGAGACGAAAAAAAAGUAGUCCCUACCAAGAAUCAAUCCCAAAAGGUCGGAGCGAGGCAAAAUUGGCUUUCAAACUAGGUUCUGGGUUCACACAAGACCUGAAUCAGGAACAAGGGCUAUUAGCUCAGGUGGUUAGAGCGCACCCCUGAUAAGGGUGAGGUCCCUGGUUCGAGUCCAGGAUGGCCCACCUGCACAGGUGGCAAAAACAAAGAAAAAAAGCUCCGAAUCAGCACCUUAUCUUACUUAUAUAGUAAGAGAGAAUGCUGGCUCUGAGUACAGAGUCCAGAGGAACCUUGAAAACUGCAUAGAGCUAGGUGAAAAAGCCAAAAAAGAAGACCGCAA
rnacentral:tRNA from 7 species